UGGUUAAACAGAAAUGUUCGGGUCGUGUUUCAUCCACAAAUUCGUUUUUCUUCCGUUAUGUAUUCAACUCAAGAAUUGGAACUCUUUCCUGAUCGUACUGUAACUCAGUUGCUAUUCAAAGAUGUCAAAAACGUCGCAGAAUUUAGGAAAAAUGCCAUGGAAGGAAAGAUAAAUGGUGCCUUGAUAAACCCGUCUAUGGGGAGACAAUGUAAUUUAGCUAACGUUAGCUGGCUAGACAGUUUGGUUUGAUGUAAUGAAUGAAUGCUUGACUGAAGUUGAUGCAAUGAUUCACAAAUUGAUUUUUGCAGAUAGUGAACCCCUUCCAAGUGCUAGUGGCAGCAAACAAGGCAGCCCAUUUACAUAUCACUGGAAAAAUGAAGACACGGAGUUUAUAUUCCCGAAAUCAUCUACAACUUUUCACCCACUAAUAAUAUUUCAGAGGCUUUCGAGAGGUUUGGGAUAUCAGACAGUGAUAGUGCUCUUCUCAUAGUUCUGGUCCAUCCCAAAGAGGAGACGCAGCACAUGAGUGACAUCAUUGCCAAGGUGGACGGACAACAGAUUCCAGUUGAAGAUGUCUCCAUGUUGACCGACCCUGCUAAGAUCAAAAAGCUAGGCCAGCCAGCCAGGUAGAAAAAUGGCAGAAAAAAGUAAGAAGACGGACAUCCGAGUAUUUGCAGAGCAGGCAACAGAUGGGACACAGACAGCAGAGCUGGGGACAGAUAUGCAGGGACAGAUUGGCAGAGACAGGGAGUCUC